rnacentral:rRNA from 1 species
GGUUAAGCGACUAAGCGUACACGGUGGAUGCCCUGGCAGUCAGAGGCGAUGAAGGACGUGCUAAUCUGCGAAAAGCGUCGGUAAGGUGAUAUGAACCGUUAUAACCGGCGAUGUCCGAAUGGGGAAACCCAGUGUGAUUCGUCACACUAUCGUUAACUGAAUACAUAGGUUAACGAGGCGAACCGGGGGAACUGAAACAUCUAAGUACCCCGAGGAAAAGAAAUCAACCGAGAUUCCCCCAGUAGCGGCGAGCGAACGGGGAGCAGCCCAGAGUCUGAAUCAGCUUGUGUGUUAGUGGAACGGUCUGGAAAGUCCGACGGUACAGGGUGAUAGUCCCGUACACCAAAAUGCACAGGCUGUGAACUCGAAGAGUAGGGCGGGACACGUGGUAUCCUGUCUGAAUAUGGGGGGACCAUCCUCCAAGGCUAAAUACUCCUGACUGACCGAUAGUGAACCAGUACCGUGAGGGAAAGGCGAAAAGAACCCCGGCGAGGGGAGUGAAAAAGAACCUGAAACCGUGUACGUACAAGCAGUGGGAGCACCUUCGGGUGUGACUGCGUACCUUUUGUAUAAUGGGUCAGCGACUUAUAUUCUGUAGCAAGGUUAACCGUAUAGGGGAGCCGCAGGGAAACCGAGUCUUAACUGGGCGUUAAGUUGCAGGGUAUAGACCCGAAACCCGGUGAUCUAGCCAUGGGCAGGUUGAAGGUUGGGUAACACUAACUGGAGGACCGAACCGACUAAUGUUGAAAAAUUAGCGGAUGACUUGUGGCUGGGGGUGAAAGGCCAAUCAAACCGGGAGAUAGCUGGUUCUCCCCGAAAGCUAUUUAGGUAGCGCCUCGUGAACUCAUCUUCGGGGGUAGAGCACUGUUUCGGCUAGGGGGUCAUCCCGACUUACCAACCCGAUGCAAACUACGAAUACCGAAGAAUGUUAUCACGGGAGACACACGGCGGGUGCUAACGUCCGUCGUGAAGAGGGAAACAACCCAGACCGCCAGCUAAGGUCCCAAAGUCAUGGUUAAGUGGGAAACGAUGUGGGAAGGCACAGACAGCCAGGAUGUUGGCUUAGAAGCAGCCAUCAUUUAAAGAAAGCGUAAUAGCUCACUGGUCGAGUCGGCCUGCGCGGAAGAUGUAACGGGGCUAAACCAUGCACCGAAGCUGCGGCAGCGACACUAUGUGUUGUUGGGUAGGGGAGCGUUCUGUAAGCCUGCGAAGGUGUGCUGUGAGGCAUGCUGGAGGUAUCAGAAGUGCGAAUGCUGACAUAAGUAACGAUAAAGCGGGUGAAAAGCCCGCUCGCCGGAAGACCAAGGGUUCCUGUCCAACGUUAAUCGGGGCAGGGUGAGUCGACCCCUAAGGCGAGGCCGAAAGGCGUAGUCGAUGGGAAACAGGUUAAUAUUCCUGUACUUGGUGUUACUGCGAAGGGGGGACGGAGAAGGCUAUGUUAGCCGGGCGACGGUUGUCCCGGUUUAAGCAUGUAGGCUGGUUAUCCAGGCAAAUCCGGAUAAUCAAGGCUGAGGUGUGAUGACGAGGCACUACGGUGCUGAAGUAACAAAUGCCCUGCUUCCAGGAAAAGCCUCUAAGCAUCAGGUAACAUCAAAUCGUACCCCAAACCGACACAGGUGGUCAGGUAGAGAAUACCAAGGCGCUUGAGAGAACUCGGGUGAAGGAACUAGGCAAAAUGGUGCCGUAACUUCGGGAGAAGGCACGCUGGUGUGUAGGUGAAGUCCCUGCGGAUGGAGCUGAGACCAGUCGAAGAUACCAGCUGGCUGCAACUGUUUAUUAAAAACACAGCACUGUGCAAACACGAAAGUGGACGUAUACGGUGUGACGCCUGCCCGGUGCCGGAAGGUUAAUUGAUGGGGUUAUCCGUAAGGAGAAGCUCUUGAUCGAAGCCCCGGUAAACGGCGGCCGUAACUAUAACGGUCCUAAGGUAGCGAAAUUCCUUGUCGGGUAAGUUCCGACCUGCACGAAUGGCGUAAUGAUGGCCAGGCUGUCUCCACCCGAGACUCAGUGAAAUUGAACUCGCUGUGAAGAUGCAGUGUACCCGCGGCAAGACGGAAAGACCCCGUGAACCUUUACUAUAGCUUGACACUGAACAUUGAGCCUUGAUGUGUAGGAUAGGUGGGAGGCUUUGAAGCGUGGACGCCAGUCUGCGUGGAGCCAACCUUGAAAUACCACCCUUUAAUGUUUGAUGUUCUAACGUUGGCCCCUGACCGGGGUUGCGGACAGUGUCUGGUGGGUAGUUUGACUGGGGCGGUCUCCUCCCAAAGCGUAACGGAGGAGCACGAAGGUUAGCUAAUCCUGGUCGGACAUCAGGAGGUUAGUGCAAUGGCAUAAGCUAGCUUGACUGCGAGCGUGACGGCGCGAGCAGGUGCGAAAGCAGGUCAUAGUGAUCCGGUGGUUCUGAAUGGAAGGGCCAUCGCUCAACGGAUAAAAGGUACUCCGGGGAUAACAGGCUGAUACCGCCCAAGAGUUCAUAUCGACGGCGGUGUUUGGCACCUCGAUGUCGGCUCAUCACAUCCUGGGGCUGAAGUAGGUCCCAAGGGUAUGGCUGUUCGCCAUUUAAAGUGGUACGCGAGCUGGGUUUAGAACGUCGUGAGACAGUUCGGUCCCUAUCUGCCGUGGGCGCUGGAGAAUUGAGGGGGGCUGCUCCUAGUACGAGAGGACCGGAGUGGACGCAUCACUGGUGUUCGGGUUGUCAUGCCAAUGGCACUGCCCGGUAGCUAAAUGCGGAAGAGAUAAGUGCUGAAAGCAUCUAAGCACGAAACUUGCCCCGAGAUGAGUUCUCCCUGAGACUUUAAGUCUCCUGAAGGAACGUUAAAGACGAUGACGUUGAUAGGCCGGGUGUGUAAGCGCAGCGAUGCGUUGAGCUAACCGGUACUAAUGAACCGUGAGGCUUAACCUU